rnacentral:lncRNA from 1 species
AGCUGACCCCGGCUAUGGCGCAGGUGCCUACUAGUGCCACUCCAGUGCCACCUUGAGGACCCAUAUUUCUGACCAAUUAUAUUAGGCGAUCUGCAUGGAACUUGCACACCUUACUGAACCCAUGCCUAUCUACAAGGGUGCAAAUUUUGAAUGAUAUCGGUCAACAUCAACCUCAGCUAAAGGUGGCUGAACUUUAACCUCCGUUUGUGCAGGCUGCGAUGCUGAUACUUGGCCCAGUUGCAGCACCUUUCACAUGUAUCAGGAUAAUAAAUUUUCAAUGCCCUACAACAACUUUCAAUUUCCAUCUAGAUGACCCC